rnacentral:rRNA from 1 species
AUUGAACGCUGGCGGCAUGCUUUACACAUGCAAGUCGAACGGCAGCACGAAAGAGCUUGCUCUUUUGGUGGCGAGUGGCGAACGGGUGAGUAAUGCAUCGGAACGUACCGAGUAAUGGGGGAUAACUGUCCGAAAGGAUAGCUAAUACCGCAUACGCUUUGAGAAGGAAAGUGGGGGCUCUUCGGACCUCACGUUAUUCGAGCGGCCGAUGUCUGAUUAGCUAGUUGGUGGGGUAAAGGCCUACCAAGGCGACGAUCAGUAGCGGGUCUGAGAGGAUGAUCCGCCACACUGGGACUGAGACACGGCCCAGACUCCUACGGGAGGCAGCAGUGGGGAAUUUUGGACAAUGGGCGCAAGCCUGAUCCAGCCAUGCCGCGUGUCUGAAGAAGGCCUUCGGGUUGUAAAGGACUUUUGUUAGGGAAGAAAAGGAUAGUGUUAAUACCAUUAUAUGCUGACGGUACCUAAAGAAUAAGCACCGGCUAACUACGUG